rnacentral:rRNA from 1 species
AACGAACGCUGGCGGCGCGCCUAAUACAUGCAAGUCGAGCGAGAAGACGUAGCAAUACGUUUGUAAAGCGGCGAACGGGUGAGGAAUACAUGGGUAACCUACCCUCGAGUGGGGAAUAACUAGCCGAAGGUUAGCUAAUACCGCGUACGCUCCUUGGACUUCGGUUCAGGGAGGAAAGCGAUACCGUGGGUAUCGCGCUCUUGGAUGGGCUCAUGUCCUAUCAGCUUGUUGGUGAGGAACGGCUCACCAAGGCUUCGACGGGUAGCUGGUCUGAGAGGACAAUCAGCCACACUGGCACUGAGACACGGCCCAGACUCCUACGGGGAGGCAGCAGUGGGGAAUAUUGGACAAUGGGCGCAAGCCUGAUCCAGCAAUGCCGCGUGUGUGAAGAAGG